AGGAGAGCCCCAUGAUUGCACAGGUAUACACGUACAGAAAGACACACUCUCUAAAUUGUUCAGGGAUAAAAGCUCCCCCCAAGAUAUACAAAUCUAUGUAGACGGUUCACGUUUUUGGCAUGAGGGAAAAUUCCAUACGGGAUUUGCAAUCUGGGUGCCAUCAGAACAAUUAUCCCUCAAAUUCAUGCUGCCGCGUUCUUUUUCAGCCCAGAAAGCCGAAUUAGAAGCCAUUUAUAUGGCAUGUCACAAAUUUGAC